GACGAACGCUGGCGGCGUGCCUAAUACAUGCAAGUCGAACGCGUCUACGUUAAUGAAAUCAAUGUGCUUGCACGGCGAUGGAUUUAACAUUAGACGAGUGGCGAACUGGUGAGUAACACGUGGGUAACCUGCCCUCAAGCAGGGGAUAACACUUGGAAACAGGUGCUAAUACCGUAUAACAACAAAAACCGCAUGGUUUUUGUUUGAAAGAUGGUUUCGGCUAUCACUUGAGGAUGGACCCGCGGCGUAUUAGCUAGUUGGUGAGGUAAUGGCUCACCAAGGCAAUGAUACGUAGCCGACCUGAGAGGGUAAUCGGCCACAUUGGGACUGAGACACGGCCCAAACUCCUACGGGAGGCAGCAGUAGGGAAUCUUCCACAAUGGACGAAAGUCUGAUGGAGCAACGCCGCGUGAGUGAUGAAGGCCUUAGGGUUGUAAAGCUCUUUCAGCUGGGAAGAUAAUGACGGUACCAGCAGAAGAAGCCCCGGCUAACUCCGUGCCAGCCGCCGCGGUAAAAC
rnacentral:rRNA from 1 species